AAGGGUGCGUAACACGUGGGCGAUCUGCCGAGAAGUGGGAGAUAGCUCGCCGAAAGGCGAAUUAAUACCGCAUGUGGUUAGGGAAGACAUCUUUCCGACACCAAAGCCGGGGCAACCUGGCGCUUCUUGAUGAGCCCGCGGCCUAUCAGCUAGUUGGUGAGGUAACGGCUCACCAAGGCUAUGACGGGUAGCUGGUCUGAGAGGACGACCAGCCACACUGGAACUGAGACACGGUCCAGACACCUACGGGUGGCAGCAGUCGAGAAUUUUUCUCAAUGGGGGAAACCCUGAAGGAGCGACGCCGCGUGGAGGAUGAAGGUCUUCGGAUUGUAAACUCCUGUCAUUAGGGAACAAUGUGCGGUUAUUAACUGUAAUCGUAUUGAUAGUACCUGAAGAGGAAGAGACGGCUAACUCUGUGCCAGCAGCCGCGGUAAUACAGAGGUCUCAAGCGUUGUUCGGAUUCAUUGGGCGUAAAGGGUGCGUAGGUGGCGCCAUAAGUCAGGUGUGAAAUCUCGGGGCUCAACCCCGAAACUGCACUUGAUACUGUGGUGCUCGAGUACUGGAGAGGAGAUUGGAA
rnacentral:rRNA from 1 species